rnacentral:rRNA from 1 species
UUUCCGUAGGUGAACCUGCGGAAGGAUCAUUAUUGAAUAUACUUGAUGGGCUGUAGCUGGCUCCUCGGAGCAAUGUGCACGCCUGUCUUGACUUUAUUCAUCCACCUGUGCACCCUUUGUAGUCUCUCAGGGGGUUGAUAGCGGGGCUGACUAUCGAAGAAGGGGUUCUCUCUGGCCUCUUCACGGAUGGUGAGGCGUGCUGCGCGAAAGUGCUGCUCCCUUCAAAAGUGGCCUUGCAAUCUCUCCCCCCCAGAGGUCUAUGUUGUUUUCAUACACCACAGUAGCAUGUCGUAGAAUGUUAUCUGAUGGGCCUCUUGUGCCUAUAGAAUUUGUAAUACAACUUUCAGCAACGGAUCUCUUGGCUCUCGCAUCGAUGAAGAACGCAGCGAAAUGCGAUAAGUAAUGUGAAUUGCAGAAUUCAGUGAAUCAUCGAAUCUUUGAACGCACCUUGCGCUCCUUGGUAUUCCGAGGAGCAUGCCUGUUUGAGUGUCAUUAAAUUCUCAACUCCACUCCAGUUUUUUGAAGCUGGUGUUUCGGGGCUUGGACAUUGGGGGGGUUCUAUGCCGGCCUUUGUAAAAUGGAGGUCGGCUCCUCUGAAAUGCAUUAGCGGAACCGUUUGCGGUCCAUCACAGGUGUGAUAACUAUCUACGCCGUGGGGGCUGCUCUCUGUCUGUUCAGCUGCCAAUCGUCCUUCCAGGGGACAAUCUCUGAACCUUUUGACCUCAAAUCAGGUAGGACUACCCGCUGAACUUAAGCAUAUCAUAAACCC